UACGUAGGGGGCAAGCGUUGUCCGGAUUUAUUGGGCGUAAAGAGCGUGUAGGCGGCCUUGCAAGUCCGUUGUGAAAACUCGAGGCUCAACCUCGAGACGCCGGUGGAAACUGCAAAGCUAGAGUCCGGAAGAGGAGAGUGGAAUUCCUGGUGUAGCGGUGAAAUGCGUAGAUAUCAGGAGGAACACCUGUGGCGAAAGCGGCUCACUGGACCACAACUGACGCUGAUGCACGAAAGCUAGGGGAGCAAACAGG
rnacentral:rRNA from 1 species